GACCUAGAGCGGAGCAAGAUUAAAAUUUGAACCCCUGAACUUCCAGGCACCUCCUGCCACAGAAAUAACAAGAUCAUCACUGAACUCCACAAACAAAGGGCGCUCUCUUUCCUCCCCCAACAGCCGGCGAAAAGGCAGACCUGAGAAUACUCAGGCUCAAGACAUCACUCAGAACAUCCCAAACCAAAACAAAAGCUAUGCACCAAACAGCCAAACAAACAGAGGUGGGAUCAGAUUCCAGCAAGCCCUGUGGGACAGCCAGCUCAGACUGAGGGAUGGGGCUGACAUGCUGGGGAUUCACUAAAGAAAAGCAGGAGGCAUGGGAGAGAGUUGAGGCUGGUAUCAGAAGAAUGAAACGACCGACCCCUGUGAACCAGAUACCUUACAGAUGUCCUCUCAUUUCAUACUCACAACAGCCUUAUAAAUUUAACCAGGAAAACAGGCCAGCCGGAAUCCUGGAGAAGGUGUUCUCAGAUUUUACAAGUGAAGAAGGUGGACCCAGGUGGCACAGUGAGUGCUGUGGGGCUCUGCCCAGACCCCCCCUUAGGACGAGGAGACCAUUCUCCCAGCUUCUGAGAAUGGCAGUGACUUGGUGACUUGCGCCUCUCAGAUGAAGCCUCUCCAGGAGUUGGCGUCCACUAAAGAGAGCCACAGGCCACACUCCACUCCCAGAGGCAGCCCGCACCCAACGUGUGGUCAGCGUACAUGCCAAACUUCCUUGCAUCAGGUGUAGCUCUUAAGUGAAUGCCCCAGCAAACCUCCUGCAUGCUAAUCUCUCUCAGAGCCUUUUUCCUGGGGCACCGACUUCAGACAAUGCUGUUCUUCACCUCUGAGUACUUUCCCUGCCUACACUUCUGAUGGAUUCUUCUUGAAUUAUCCUAAUUUCAAUGUACCCUCUGAACCCUGCUGGGACCCUCACUGACUGGCACAGCAACAUGGGGCAGGCCUGCUCCAGGCUCCGGAUCCCCAACAGUUUUCAGAAGUUACACUUAAGAAAGCCUCUUGGAUGCGCAUGAGAAAGAAUGAGCAAGGAUAUUUACGGCAGCCCUGUUUAUAAUAGCCAUAAAGACACGCUGGUCUCUCUGACUCUUCAGGGAUAUUCCUCCUGCCCUUCAGGGUGGUUCCCUGUGUAUCCACAGUGGGAAGAUGUCCAAGUCCCUCUUGAAGUUAAAAAAAAGUAAAUGAGCAGCACGCAUGAGAAGAAAGAAGGUCAUCAACUGAAAAUGAGGAUGUAGGAGAAGAUGUUGAUGGUUGAGGAGAAGGGAGAAGGUAUGAAACAGACGUCUGGGAAAGCAGGAACAUGAAUGAACUAGGGAAGCACAGCACAAUUGCCUGCAGCAUUGAGGUUCAAGGUCAUGGAUUUUAAAGGAAACCUGUCAGCAUGAUUGUGUGUUUUUCUCUAGGGAUCUUCAUCUGCACAGCUGAUGUACAUGAAAGGUGGAGAAUUGGAUCUUUUCUCCUUUGGAAACUUUAAAAAUGCAACAAUUUAAAUGUUUUGUGAAUGAAAGAGCCGCUUCAAACAAUUAUGCCUAUUUGCUUGCAUGCUCCCUCCCUCCCCUCCCUCCCCUCCCUCCCCUCCCUCCCCUCCCUCUGUC